AGACGAAUGUACCAUACCCCCGGGGACAGGAUCAACACUAAAUAGUCUUCAAGCUGAAUCUCAUGGAAGGUCAUUUACGGUCUGGUAAUUUAAUUUUAACAAGACAAUUUAUGAACACUAGAUACACUCAUCGGCACCAGAAUAGCCGAGAACAGAUGAAUGAAUUUCCGGUUUUCAUAAAUAUAACAACAUAGAAUACAAUUGUAGACACUAUUCGCCAAAUGCCCCGCAACGACCGCAAAGUGCAAUGCAGCAGGUUCAUCGAUCUCAUGGUCGAAGGACAAGUCGAU